rnacentral:rRNA from 1 species
CCUACGGGGGGCUGCAGUGGGGAAUAUUGGACAAUGGGGGGAACCCUGAUCCAGCCAUGCCGCGUGUGUGAAGAAGGCCCUCGGGUUGUAAAGCACUUUCAGUGAGGAAGAACGCCUGGUGGUUAAUACCCAUCAGGAAAGACAUCACUCACAGAAGAAGCACCGGCUAACUCCGUGCCAGCAGCCGCGGUAAUACGGAGGGUGCGAGCGUUAAUCGGAAUUACUGGGCGUAAAGCGCGCGUAGGUGGCUUGAUAAGCCGGUUGUGAAAGCCCCGGGCUCAACCUGGGAACGGCAUCCGGAACUGUCAAGCUAGAGUGCAGGAGAGGAAGGUAGAAUUCCCGGUGUAGCGGUGAAAUGCGUAGAGAUCGGGAGGAAUAACAGUGGCGAAGGCGGCCUUCUGGACUGACACUGACACUGAGGUGCGAAAGCGUGGGUAGCAAACAGGAUUAGAUACCCUAGUAGUC